GCUGGACAGCAAAAGCAGGAUGAGAGAAGGGGGGCAAGGCAAAACAAGGGUAGAGGGCAAAAAAAAAGUGAUAAUGAAAAAUGUGGCCAAAGCUGACAAAGGCAAAUGUUGCAGUUCACCGCCAUCACACAUGGUGUGAUAGAGGGACCUCACUGCAUGAUGAGAUAUCAGACAUUGAUUUAGCAGUUAAAGCAGGGUGAGUGUCAUUAAGGUGGAAAAUAGCAGCUUUCAUUGGGGAAGAACAAUGAAGGAUUAUGGAAAAGAAUUGAUAAUUCUGUGGAAAUGAAAUUUUGAUGACAAUCCACCUAGGCUAGACCUCAAAGCAGAGUUACAAACUGGACUGAAUUACUGUAUACUGACAUUAUAUCGUAUAAAACGCUGCUUUUGCUUUGUAAUAGCUUUAUUUUUAUGCUAAGAAGGGAAAGAACCUUUCUUUUCCAAAAAAGAAAAUUAAAAAUCUUUCCUGUCUAAUUCUAGUAAACUUUUUAUUGUGUGUUGUGACAUCUUAUCUCGUUUAUCUUUACACCUCUUAUUGAGGGGCAGCAACUUUCUGCAAAGUAUUGACUUAAAACCUAUUUUGUUUUUGUCUGUAAAAGUUCCAGGUUUAAAGUUCCAGGUUAAAAACUGGAACCAAACUGUAUUCUUAUCAGGGGCUAUUGGUAACAAAAUGCCUAAAGCUAAGGUUGAAAAUUGAGUCUUCAUUAUAUGUGGAAACAAUGUUGUUUGACUCGUUGACUUGGAAUAAUGGUGAAUCAGGUCUCCAAUUGUCCCAGUACAUUGUAAGUAAAAAAACAGGAAGUAGUCAAAUUAUUUACAAAAGUAAAGCUCCACUCUUCUUGUUUGCUGUCUGUUGAGAAAGCAGCCUGUGUUUAAUUAGUUAUCAUACAGAUGGUUCUAUUGUUAAGUAAUUUCAUUAAAAGCGGGUAAAUCUAUUCACCUUUGAAUGACAACUAAUCAGUGACUACUAGUCACUAUAACAUAGACCUUUCUUCGUAGUUUGAGAUCCAUUAUUAAGCUCAAAAUGUGCUAUUUGAAUUUUUCAUUUUCAGUUUUUUUCUUGUUUUCAAUUUAAGUUUCCUCCAUAAAAUGGAGUGAAAUACAAUAAAAUGAAACACAAAGAAACACAACCGCUAAUCACAGAUCACAAUGCAAAUCUGUGGCAAUCAUCCUGAGAAAUACAUAUAUUCCCAACAGUUUGUGAUCUCCUGCUUUACUAAUGUGGUUGUAAUAUAUUUCAUUUAGUAACACUCAUCCUCAAGUUUACAUAAAGGAUGUUAUCUAAUAAACAGCAUAAGUGAUCUCAUUAUCUAAUACAGGAAUGUACUGUAAGUGUUCUUUUCCUGCUGAAAUACCCACAGUAUGAGCAUAGCUAUCUUUAAACACAUUCUGUGCACACACUGAGGACACUGUGGAUUAAAGGAACUCUUUUAAACUAAAUCCUAUCUAAGAUUUGACUUCUAUCCAGCAUAAAGGGGCUGGAAUUCUGUGAGACACAGCAGGUGGGUAUAAGAAUAUAAUGAGCGCAAUGACUCAGAGUGUACAAUAACUCCACACUUUCUAUUAUUACACACUGGUGCUGACUGAAUUACUUUUUAAAUUGAAAACGUUACAAACUGCUCAGUGCCAGCACAGAACUCAAUAACAUAAAUGUCAGGCUUUAGCAACUAGCAUGAAUAGAAUGUUUUUUUUAAAUAUAUACAUAAUUGUGUGCUUUAAAAUCAGUUUUUCUAUUAUAUUUUAAAAUCUGAGUCAUGCCUUUUAUUAAUUUGGCUCUGGUAGCAAAUAUUCUAAUAACUCCUGUAAAAAGCUGAAAAAUGUUAUGUGAAGCUGAGAAGGAAAUGGAGAGGUCUUAAAUUUAAGACAAUGAUUAAAAUAAAAAAGGGCACAGAAAGCUAUCAAAACAGCAGAUGAUGCAUUGUGAGGGUAUUAAAGGGAACUGCAUAAGGUGAAAAUUUGGUUUAAGAAAUGAAAGUCAACCUGAGACAAAGUCAGACUGAAGUUAUGUUAUGAAAGACAGGCGCUACCUCACUCCGUACCAGUAGGUGGCGGUAAUGCAUCCCUAACAUUUCUUGGCAACCGCCAAUAAAAAAAAUCAAGGAGACGAGGGAAAUACGCCUCUAACACAAACCUGGUGUGUUGGAAGGAAAAAGAGGAAAAAAACAGCUAAGACGUGUCUUUACUACGACUGGAAAAACAGGGGCGGUAUAACACUGCUACCUGGAGGUGGCUGAGCACGGUCCACACUGCAUGAAGUAGGGAGACGAAACUGAAUCCCUGUAAGGAGGAAGUAACAUCAGUUAGAAAGAAAACAUGCAGAAACUUUAAAUGUACAUCCAAAGGAGAGCAGCUGCCUGAAUGUACGCCCCUAUCUUUUGACCAAAAUCUCUCCUGCUGUAUCCCCUUCUCCAUAUGGAAGCAUUGGAGCUGGCUCUGUCAUGCAUCUUCUUACUGCAGCAACCCCAGCGCAUCUCACAGUGGAGGUCCGAAAUAACUCCCACAGAAGAUCCAGCUGUGUGAAUCCACACACAGUAUUAAAGAGCGACAUACCUGUAAAGCUUGAGUGUCAAGUGGUAGAAAUGCAGACGUAAGGAGAGAAGAUGAUUAAAACUGAGGCAGCCCUACCUUUGGGAGUCUAAAUGGGGUCUCUGCAUGGCUGAUUUAAGGACAAGAGCAUCAGGACGAAUGGCUGCCUGUGGAGAAGUCUUAGGACUCGUGUCGGAGUCUCCGCUUUCAUCCUCCAGCUCCCCC